UAAGUGGUUCACGAAUUUUUU
rnacentral:piRNA from 1 species